rnacentral:rRNA from 1 species
UACGAAGGGGGCUAGCGUUGCUCGGAAUCACUGGGCGUAAAGGGUGCGUAGGUGGGUAGGUAAGUCAGUGGUGAAAUCUUCAAGCUUAACUUGGAAACUGCCAUUGAUACUAUUUAUCUUGAAUACUUUGGAGGUAAGCGGAAUAUGUCAUGUAGCGGUGAAAUGCUUAGAUAUGACAUAGAACACCAAUUGCGAAGGCAGCUUACUACACAGUAAUUGACACUGAGGCACGAAAGCGUGGGGAUCAAACAGG